rnacentral:lncRNA from 1 species
GGUGAGUCUCGAAGCGAUCCCGAUCUCGCGGCCUCGCGACGAAACGCGAGGGACAACGCGUCGCAAUAAUGAGAUAUAUAAAAGUUCGGUAAAAAAGAAACACGAGAUGAAAAAUCUUCGAUUCGAUCAAGGUUUCGAUCCGCGGAAUUCUUUUCUCCCGCAUCUCAUUCCUCGAGAGUUUAACACACCAUACAGUCUACAGCUCCUCGAGAAUCACACAUUCUCGUUGGCAUCGUACUGGUAUUUCGAUCGACUGCGGAAUAUUUCUUUAAUUCAGUAGGCCUCGAAGUGGACUGUUUCCACAUAACCAGAAAAGUCAAACGAAACUGUCGUCUCAGCGUAGAAUCGCCCAUAUAGAAAUGGCUGUGCAGGGGCUGCGUAUAAAUGUGAUGCUUGGAAUUUUUCAAUGGGCUCGAUGAACAAGUUUUUCCGAGGACAGACAUGCAUCAGCCUCGUUGAUUCUCGCCGUGCCAGGCAGUCUGGUUUAUCCGUGGAGGAUUAUUAAGAGUGUAUGAGUAUAUGCGCGUAUGCGUUAUAGAGAAAUAAAGAAGGAGGGAUGCGUGGAGGUUGCUCGUAGCUGUAUUGAAGUCUCGUUGAGUGUAUUUUUCUCUCGCGAUUUUCUCGAGCGCGUACAGACCAAUGCGAUACAUCCGGUUGCGGUAUUUCCACAUGCAUUUCGUGUACGAAUCCCUCUCUCUCUCUCUUUCUCUCGCAAUUCCAUAAUAUAAAAAGUGUGUUUCUGCGAGGAGUAGUCGGAGUGUCAUUGCUAACGAGCGGUUGCAAUUGAUUGAUGGCGUUUAAAUAAGCACCCUCGUUUCUUUCGAUUCCGCCACGACCGAAACAUCAUUUUCGUUUGUUUUCAUGCUACUUUGAUUAAUUUAUAUUUACCGAUGAUUAGCUCAACGAUUUAUUACAUGUUGCGGCUUCCCUCAAAAUCUUUCGAUAAAAACAAAAAGCUUA